AUGAAGGAUGUUAGAGCCUGGGAUGCUGAGGCAGGAUCCUGCACACACCCUAGAGAUUAGUGGAAAGUAAACUCAGCGGAGCGUCUGGAAUACCUCCACUAACUUCUUAAAAGAUGCUGCCGAUUCACUGAUUCUCAAAAAUUUUAAUUCAAUUUUCUCAGCUUUUAUCCUGUAACAAUCAAUUUGUAUAGUAAAUGAAAGCCAAAAGCAUAUUCGUUUUAUUUACAAGGAUGAUAAAAAUAGAAACAUCAUUCAUCUAUUUCCAUUCCUGAACUUUCAUGCCUGAUUCCUCUUUAUACUCACUUUCAUCCUCUGUGGAUACUUUAAUAUCCAUUUUAAUCCCUCUGUGAGAAAUUCUGCUAAAUUACUUUACUCUGUAGGGUCAGAGUAUUCAAGAUAAAACAUUCCUGGAAAAAUGUAUUUCUACCAGGAAAAGACAGACUUAAAAAAGGAGGGGGAGACAGCAGGGUUAGAGGAAAACUGUGUGCCCACACUUUAGUAGAAAUUAUCGAAACCACAGCAUGCAUGGGGAAAUCUCCUUCUAUGGAUGGAUUACUAUAAUUGGUUCUCUAUAUUACUUGAAUUUUUCAUUUGGGCUUUUAAGCUAUAAUUAGAUAAAAGAUUUUGGGAAAUAUUAAGCUGUACUGCCACAAAUAUGAAUCAAAUAAAACUAUAUUUCUAAAAAC
rnacentral:antisense_RNA from 1 species